rnacentral:lncRNA from 1 species
GGAAGUUUUGUUCUUUCAUUAAGUAUGCUUAUUGAAUGUCUUACUAAUCAUUUGACAGCAUGGUAAUGGCAAACCCUCACAUUUUUGUAUAUUUCUUCCCUAUUAACCUUUAUAUUUCAUCACUAAGUUUGUUUUAGUGCACUUACAAUGCGGCAAUGCAAAUCUGGAGAGGUGGUAGUAGUUUAGAUGAGCUUUUUGAAUGCUUAACCUUUUCACUAGGAGGGUGGUGAAGCACAGGAAUAGGUUACCUAGGGAGGUGGUGGAAUCUCCUUCCUUAGAGGUUUUUAAGGCCCGGCUUGACAAAGCCCUGGCUGGGAUGAUUUAGUUGGGGAUUAGUCCUGCUUUGAGCAGGGGGUUGGACUAGAUGACCUUCUAAGGUCCCUUCCAACUCUGAUAUUCUAUGAUUGUCCCUAUGGCUCAUCAACAAUCUCUUUAUAGCAGAGCACUAUAAAAGAAUCAGAGAAUGGAUUUUAUAUAAUAAUUAGAGUAUCAUAAAUUCUUCAUUCCAUCAUAAUAUCUUAUGUUGUGUGUGCCUUUUAUGCCACUGAAACAUUCUAAGGAGUGUCACCUAAGGAAUAUCACAAUAAUGAAUCAAUGAAAUCUUAAAAGAGAAAAUCAUUGUCAUACUAACUGGACAUGGUUCCAAUGUUCAGCAUUUGUGAUUAAUCCUAAAUUACAGGGUAAGAUGUCACUGCUACUUGCUCUUAGUAUUUUAACGGUCUUGCUUCUAUGUCUAUUGUCACUGGGACUUGUCUAAAUUAAACCGCAACCCUAAGAAAUAGCAAGAGAAUGUGGGUUGAAAAGCUGAGAAACCAGUGACAAUGUGAAAGAAAGCAGAAGGCCCUCUCUUCUAAUCCUCUAAAUACAGUAGAAAUGCCAAAGAUCUUGGCCAAAUGUAGACCAAAGAACUGAAGAUGAGAAUAAUGUGUUUUUUGCAAAUAUCAAAUUCACAGCUGAUUCAACCAUUGUCAUAACAGCUGUUACCUCCAAUGAUGGUGCCAUAUAUGAAGACUCAACCCAUGAUUCACUGCCUCUAGAUAAUCAACCAGAAUGGGGCAGUGAGGACAAAUAUCCUACAAAUACCUCCAGGGAUUAUGUCGUACCUGGACUUAUUCCUGAAAAUGAAGCUGAGUUUUAUACAGCUGUGGUCUCCAAUGAUGGUGCCACACAUGAAGACUCAACCCAAGAUCCAUUGUUGCACAGUGUUCAUCCUGGCUGGGGCAAUGAAGACAAGUAUCUCACAGCUACCUCUAGGGAUGAUGAGCUACCUGGAAUGAUUCCUCCAAGUGAAACUGAACAUAAAAAUGAUUCUUCUCAUACAGGUUCUACACUUAACAAACACGAUGGCAGAAGAGCAAAUCCAUCUGGACAGGUCACAAAACCAAACAUAGCUUCACAGCCAAGAUCAGCCCAAAUACCAGGUUGGUAUCUCAAGCCAUUGCCUUUGACAGUCUGAUCACAGAAUUAAAGAAAUGGAGAUGAAGAGGUUAUUA